rnacentral:rRNA from 1 species
UAGGGAAUCCUCCGCAAUGGGCGAAAGCCUGACGGAGCAACGCCGCGUGAGUGAAGAAGGAUUUCGGUUCGUAAAGCUCUGUUGUUAGGGAAGAAUGAUUGUGUAGUAACUAUACACAGUAGAGACGGUACCUAACCAGAAAGCCACGGCUAACUACGUGCCAGCAGCCGCGGUAAUACGUAGGUGGCAAGCGUUGUCCGGAAUUAUUGGGCGUAAAGCGCGCGCAGGUGGUUUAAUAAGUCUGAUGUGAAAGCCCACGGCUCAACCGUGGAGGGUCAUUGGAAACUGUUAAACUUGAGUGCAGGAGAGAAAAGUGGAAUUCCUAGUGUAGCGGUGAAAUGCGUAGAGAUUAGGAGGAACACCAGUGGCGAAGGCGGCUUUUUGGCCUGUAACUGACACUGAGGCGCGAAAGCGUGGGGAGCAAACAGGAUUAGAUACCCUGGUAGUCCACGCCGUAAACGAUGAGUGCUAAGUGUUGGUCUCAUAAGAGAUCAGUGCUGCAGCUAACGCAUUAAGCACUCCGCCUGGGGAGUACGACCGCAAGGUUG